ACCCGGUUCCAUUCCGAACCCGGCCGUUAAGCCGCCCUGGGCCGAUGGUAGUAUGGGGGUAGCCCCAUGCGAGAGUAGGUAGCGCCCGGG
rnacentral:rRNA from 1 species